AUCUAUGGCCACACUACAUUUAACACACUUCAUCUUGCCUGUUCUGCAGAGGUAAGGAGGGUUGGACCGGGUCAGUGCUUAGAUGGAGACUGUCUGGAACCUUAGGGUAUUAUUGGUU
rnacentral:rRNA from 1 species